GCGGGGGUUGCCCAGCUAGGUCAAAGGCGCCGGACUUAAGAUCCGGUAUCGAAGGAUUUCGAGGGUUCGAAUCCCUCCCCCCGCA
rnacentral:tRNA from 1 species